rnacentral:tRNA from 1 species
UUUAAGGUGGCAGAAAAAUGCACCAACUUUAAGCGUUGGAAAUAAAGGUACCCUUUCCUUAAAA